CCUACGGGAGGCAGCAGUGGGGAAUAUUGGACAAUGGGCGCAAGCCUGAUCCAGCCAUACCGCGUGGGUGAAGAAGGCCUUCGGGUUGUAAAGCCCUUUUGUUGGGAAAGAAAUCUUGCCGGUUAAUACCUGGCGAGGAUGACGGUACCCAAAGAAUAAGCACCGGCUAACUUCGUGCCAGCAGCCGCGGUAAUACGAAGGGUGCAAGCGUUACUCGGAAUUACUGGGCGUAAAGCGUGCGUAGGUGGUGGUUUAAGUCUGCUGUGAAAGCCCUGGGCUCAACCUGGGAAUUGCAGUGGAUACUGGGUCACUAGAGUGUGGUAGAGGGAUGCGGAAUUUCCGGUGUAGCAGUGAAAUGCGUAGAGAUCGGAAGGAACAUCCGUGGCGAAGGCGGCAUCCUGGGCCAACACUGACACUGAGGCACGAAAGCGUGGGGAGCAAACAGGAUUAGAUACCCUGGUAGUCCACGCCCUAAACGAUGCGAACUGGAUGUUGGGUGCAACUUGGCACCCAGUAUCGAAGCUAACGCGUUAAGUUCGCC
rnacentral:rRNA from 1 species